GCGGAAGUGGCGAAAUCGGCAGCCGCGCGGGUUUUAGGUGCCCGUGCCCGAGAGGGCGUGGGGGUUCGAGUCCCCUCUUCCGCACGA
rnacentral:tRNA from 1 species